UACAGAGGCCCCAAGCGUUACUGAGAAUCACUGGGUUUAAAGGGUGCGUAGGUGGCGCGUUAAGUCCGUUGUGAAAGCCCUGGGCUCAACCCAGGAACUGCUUCGGAUACUGGCGCGCUUGAGGCUAGUAGGGGUCACUGGAACUGACGGUGGAGCGGUGAAAUGCGUAGAUAUCGUCAGGAACGCCAAUGGUGAAGACAGGUGACUGGGCUAGUUCUGACACUGAGGCACGAAAGCGUGGGGAGCGAACGG
rnacentral:rRNA from 1 species